AAUUUCGAAUUUUAGGUUUGAUCUUCAUUGUCUUCGCCGGCAAUGGAAUAUCAGGAGAAUAUUCGGAAAGAAUCUCUUGCUCGAGCGUCGUUUCGUCAAACCUUAUUUUCCGAGCCGUUACGAGAUGCGAUGAUUCGUCGACAUUAAAACCAUCUUUACUUCUUCGACCCACGAUCAUCAAUCAAACCUAUAAAAAGGUCAUCGGUGAAACAUAAAGAUCGUGGAGGUGGAUUCAUGAAGACUUAUCGCCAGUGAUGGUUCCGGUUUGCACCGAGAUGAGAUUAGCAAAUCAGAUAUGAAUCACCCAAGGUUCAUGUAGAUAUCAACACAAGAGUCAGGGGCAGAGGGAGAAUCAAUAAUGGAACAAAUAAGGUGUUAAAGAAAGAGAAAGAAAAAGCUUAGAAGAUCAAAAACAGUCUUACCAAAACAUUGUCAUGGUCAUGGUCAUUACCACGUUCAUGAUGUGUACGAAAAAGAAUAUGGCGAGCAAGAAUCAAAUUGGCACGGUGAGCCAGAUUUGUUAUUCACCUUUGAAAAGACAUACGCGUUAUGUUUUUGUGACAUUAACGGGUUCUCUGUUUUAUGUCUGAGUGGCACAUUGUAUACUCACGGCGGUGUAUCAGGUCAACCUGAGUCACUGAGUCAUCCCGGGGAAGCAAAUUUUCAGGCACCGCCGAAGAUCGUUCCACCAGGGACAAAAGAUUUUUCUUUGUCUCUUCGGAUUAUACCAAAUGUCUUGAACCUGAGCCAUUACGAGAUGCCUUUUAUGGACACGAGAGGACAUAUACUUUGGAGAGGGACGUGAGAAGAGAUGCACCGUCUCAUCUUCCUAAACUGCACGACAUAUCGGAGAGAGAAUAGAAUAUCGACGCUCAUCAGAUGGCAAUAAAACACGCAUGUGUCUUUGUUAUCCUCAUCAAAUGGCAAUAAAACUUCUUCUCAUGCUCUCUGACUUUAAAGCCGUCGUUGUAGCCCCACCUUCGAAGUUUGCCUGCUGAGAUUUUGGGAGUCCAGUUCUCCUCUCCCUCUGUAGUAUGCGUUUUUUGGGCUUCUUCUUUCUCUCGCUUGAAAGUUUUUAAUUUUUUGUGGUUGAGUUCAACAUUGAACUUGCUGAGACGAAGAGAUGUGCUUUAAAUGAAGAUAUUACUUUUUUGACAGGUUCGAUAUUAAGGAUUAUGUCGUAGGAUUUGAAGAUCUUGAACAGUUGAACCUGCGCAAGUCGAAUCUGCGUUAGUAUCAGUUCACAGGCUAUUUAUGUAUAAGUUUAUUAAGUUACUACUUCUUGAAUGACUUUUACAGCAUGGUAGCAGCAUUAGGAUCUAUAUUCGCGUUCUUUCUGGUGAGCCAAGUCUUGCAAAGACAACUCUCAAUGGAAUUACCACAGCUGCUGGUUUUGAUGUC